rnacentral:rRNA from 1 species
CUGGCUCAGGAUGAACGCUAGCUACAGGCUUAACACAUGCAAGUCGAGGGGCAGCAUGAUCGAAGCUUGCUUUGAUUGAUGGCGACCGGCGCACGGGUGAGUAACGCGUAUCCAACCUUCCCUAUAGUAGAGGAUAGCCCGGCGAAAGUCGGAUUAAUACUCUAUGUUUUCCGAAGCAGACAUCUAAUUUGGAACAAAGGUUCACCGCUAUAGGAUGGGGAUGCGUCUGAUUAGGUAGUCGGCGGGGUAACGGCCCACCGAGCCUACGAUCAGUAGGGGUUCUGAAAGGAAGGUCCCCCACAUUGGAACUGAGACACGGUCCAAACUCCUACGGGAGGCAGCAGUGAGGAAUAUUGGUCAAUGGGCGAGAGCCUGAACCAGCCAAAGUAGCGUGCAGGAUGACGGCCCUAUGGGUUGUAAACUGCUUUUAUACGGGGAUAAAGUGAGGGACGUGUCCCUUUUUGUAGGUACCGUAUGAAUAAGGACCGGCUAAUUCCGUGCCAGCCGCCGC